AGUUGACUGUUCUUGAUUAUCUCAUUUUGGAAAGAAUCUUUCUGUGCGUAUAUAAUAAAUGGAUGAUUCAGAGUUGUCUAUUUUAUCUCAAAUUAGCUUUGCUAAUGUUCAUUAAUCUUCUCAACUUUGUAUAAUCCCAAGGUUCAAUGUUGGUUUAAGCUAUUGACAAUGGCUCUUUUACUUAGAUUCUUGAUUGUAUGGGCAAUUUAUGGUGUGAAGGUGGGUAGUUUUCAGAGAGACUUUGUUCCGUUGAAGGUGAAUAGUUCAGGUCGAGCAAUUGAAGAAGGGGAAGAUGGAGCUUGUGAAGAUCUAGACCUUACUUAAGAACUUUGAAUUGUUGUCCAUGUUCUAGGAAUCUUUUGUUAUUAACAUUUGAAAUUACUCUAACUCUUGAAGUGUUGAAAUGUAUACCUUAUGUGAUUGGGUUAAAACAUUUUGGUUUUAUAGAUAUAUUAGCUUAUUGGACGAUA